GGUGAACGCUGGCGGCGUGCCUAAUACAUGCAAGUCGAACGAACGGACGAGAAGAUCGCGCCUCUGAGGUUAGCGACGGGCGGGUGAGUGAGACGUGGAUAAGCAACCUCUAAGACUGGGGGAACUUCGGGAAACAAGUGACACUAACAGAUAAUAUAAUCAACCGCAGGAUUCAAUAGUGCAUGACGGCUUUGCUGUCACUUAUAGAUGGAUCCGCGCCGCAUUAGCUAGUUGGUAAGGUAACGGCUCACCAAGGCGACGAUGCGUAGCCGACCUGAGAGGAUGAUCAGCCACACUGGAACUGAGACACGGUCCAGACUCCUACGGGAGGCAGCAGUGGGGAAUCUUCCGCAAUGGGCGAAAGCCUGACGCAGCAAUGCCGCGUGAGUGAUGAAGGUCUUCGGAUCGUAAAGCUCUGUUAUUAGGGAAGAACAACUGUGUAAGAAACUAUGCACGUCUUGACGGUACCUAAUCAGAAAGCCACGGCUAACUUCGUG
rnacentral:rRNA from 1 species